ACUUUUAAAGGAUGGAAGUCAUCCGUUGGCCUUAGGAGCCAAAAAAU
rnacentral:tRNA from 4 species